rnacentral:rRNA from 1 species
GUGAGGAAUAUUGCGCAAUGGAGGCAACUCUGACGCAGCCAUGCCGCGUGCAGGAAGAAGGCGCUACGCGUUGUAAACUGCUUUUAACCGGGAAGAAACCCCAGGACGUGUCCUGGGUUGACGGUACCGGAGGAAUAAGUACCGGCUAACUUCGUGCCAGCAGCCGCGGUAAAACGAAGGGUGCAAGCGUUAUCCGGAUUCAUUGGGUUUAAAGGGUGCGUAGGCGGAGCGUUAAGUCAGUGGUGAAAUCCUGCAGCUUAACUGUAGACUUGCCAUUGAUACUGGCGCUCUUGAGUGCGCUUGAAGUGGGCGGAAUGUGCCGUGUAGCGGUGAAAUGCUUAGAUAUGGCACAGAACACCAAUUGCGAAGGCAGCUCACUAAGGCGAUACUGACGCUGAGGCACGAAAGCGUGGGGAUCGAACAGGAUUAGAAACCCGGGUAGUCC